ACCUGGUCUUGACAUCCACAGAACUUUCCAGAGAUGGAUUGGUGCCUUCGGGAACUGUGAGACAGGUGCUGCAUGGCUGUCGUCAGCUCGUGUUGUGAAAUGUUGGGUUAAGUCCCGCAACGAGCGCAACCCUUAUCCUUUGUUGCCAGCGGUCCGGCCGGGAACUCAAAGGAGACUGCCAGUGAUAAACUGGAGGAAGGUGGGGAUGACGUCAAGUCAUCAUGGCCCUUACGACCAGGGCUACACACGUGCUACAAUGGCGCAUACAAAGAGAAGCGACCUCGCGAGAGCAAGCGGACCUCAUAAAGUGCGUCGUAGUCCGGAUUGGAGUCUGCAACUCGACUCCAUGAAGUCGGAAUCGCUAGUAAUCGUGGAUCAGAAUGCCACGGUGAAUACGUUCCCGGGCCUUGUACACACCGCCCGUCACACCAUGGGAGUGGGUUGCAAAAGAAGUAGGUAGCUUAACCUUCGGGAGGGCGCUUACCACUUUGUGAUUCAUGACUGGGGUGAAGUCGUAACAAGGUAACCGUAGGGGAACCUGCGGUUGGAUCACCUCCUUACCUUAAAGAAGC
rnacentral:rRNA from 1 species